rnacentral:pre_miRNA from 1 species
GAACUACUCCCUCCGUUUGGAAUUACUUGUCUCGAAAAUGGAUGUAUCUAGAACUAAAUUACGUCUAGAUACAUCCAUUUUUGCGACAAGUAAUUCCGAACAGAGGGAGUAGCAG